rnacentral:lncRNA from 1 species
GAUUGACCGACCUUGACUGUUAGCUAUAUUGAGAAUCUAACCGAGCAAACCAAGGUCGCUAAAUGUUUGGAGCUUGCAUAUGGAGGUGGUUGUCGCUAAAUGUUUGGAGCUUGCAUAUGGAGGUGGUUGUUGUGGGAUGCGAACUGAUAUGUCCCGUAUUUAAUAAAUAAACUUUAUGAACUUAUUAAACCUACGUUUUGGACUUUAAACUUAUGAACUAUGGACUAUGUUUUAAACUUACGUUUUAUGCUUCCGCUGUUUAACUAAAAUCGGUUUACUUCCUUUUGGUCACCAAUCGUAUUGUGUUUGGUUU